UAUUCGGCUUAGGUAUUGCAAAAAUGCUGUUAAAAAUAUCUCUGACUUUCUUGGUGCUACUUAGUGUUCUCUUCUGGUGUGGUGCAGAGAGAAAAUGUGACGGUGGCGAUGCAUGCGUUAAAGACUCUAGAAUAUGUGGUAAGGGACUCUCCAAAAAAUCUCCGAUGUGCCAACCAGACGAGAAGUGUUGCAUAUGGGUAACUAAAUAAGCGGAACAGGCAAAAACUUGCAGAUACCAACAUGAAGAAGGAUAGUGGGAUGGAUGCCUCCUGGUUCUGACAAAGUUCUCCUUUUACUUAGAGCAUGUUAAAUAAACAUUUGUUUAUUAAUAAAAGCAAAAAAAAACUAUUGUUGAUAUUUAAUAA